AACGCAAAUUGCGCUCUCGGGAUAGGCCUGAGAGCACGCCUCUUUGAGCAUCGAUUCUACCACAAGUCGACGACGUCCUUGCAAAAGGUCGCGCAGUCGGACAUUGAGCUUUGCUGGAUCUCUUAAUCUGGACUGGCUUUAAAUAGAGCGAGAUGCACAGCGAUCAUACUGAACCUAGCAGUAAGCGAUCGGUGGCGUGGAUAACUUCACAAUUCGUGAACCUUCCAAUACGUGACCGUCGUUAACUACGCUGCUCUGAGCAGUUGAUUGCAACGCGCAUCGGAAACGUCGCUUGCGACAACCUCUUUUGAAUUAGAUCUCAAAUGAAGCGAGAAAACCCGCUGAACUUAA
rnacentral:misc_RNA from 1 species